UACGAAGGGGGCUAGCGUUGCUCGGAAUCACUGGGCGUAAAGGGCGCGUAGGCGGCCGAUCAAGUCAGGGGUGAAAGCCUGUGGCUCAACCACAGAAUUGCCUUUGAUACUGUUCGGCUCGAGACCGGAAGAGGUAAGUGGAACUGCGAGUGUAGAGGUGAAAUUCGUAGAUAUUCGCAAGAACACCAGUGGCGAAGGCGGCUUACUGGUCCAGCACCGACGUUCAGGCACGAAAGCGUGGGGAGCAAACAGG
rnacentral:rRNA from 1 species